UACAGAGGGGGCAAGCGUUAUUCGGAAUUAUUGGGCGUAAAGGGCGCGUAGGCGGCUUGGCAAGUGGAAGGUGAAAUCCCUCGGCUUAACCGAGGAACUGCCCUCCAAACUGCUUGGCUUGAGACCGGGAGAGGUGAGUGGAAUUCCCAGUGUAGCGGUGAAAUGCGCAGAUAUCAGGAGGAACACCAAUGGCGAAGGCAGCUCGCUGGGACGUGACUGACGCUGAGACGCGAAAGCGUGGGGAGCAAACAGG
rnacentral:rRNA from 1 species